GUGCUCACGUUGGCAGCAUAUGUACAAAAUUGGAAUGAUACAGAGAUUAGCAUGGCUCCUGUGCAAGGAUGACACAAAUUCCAAAG
rnacentral:snRNA from 1 species